rnacentral:rRNA from 1 species
GAUGAACGCUGGCGGCGUGCCUAAUACAUGCAAGUCGAGCGAACAGACGAGGAGCUUGCUCCUCUGACGUUAGCGGCGGACGGGUGAGUAACACGUGGAUAACCUACCUAUAAGACUGGGAUAACUUCGGGAAACCGGAGCUAAUACCGGAUAAUAUAUUGAACCGCAUGGUUCAAUAGUGAAAGACGGUUUUGCUGUCACUUAUAGAUGGAUCCGCGCCGCAUUAGCUAGUUGGUAAGGUAACGGCUUACCAAGGCAACGAUGGGUAGCCGACCUGAGAGGGUGAUCGGCCACACUGGAACUGAGACACGGUCCAGACUCCUACGGGAGGCAGCAGUAGGGAAUCUUCCGCAAUGGGCGAAAGCCUGACGGAGCAACGCCGCGUGAGUGAUGAAGGUCUUCGGAUCGUAAAACUCUGUUAUUAGUGAAGAACAAAUGUGUAAGUAACUAUGCACGUCUUGACGGUACCUAAUCAGAAAGCCACGGCUAACUACGUG